AGCUACGCAGUGGCAGUAUCGUAGCCUGUGAGGUUGAUCCGAGCCACGAUUAUUGCUAGUCGAAAACUUUAUCCAAUACCCCGCAUGGGCAGCUGUGGCUGAGUGGUUAGAGCAGUCGUUCUCCAGUGCAAGAGUUGGGGGUUCGAAUCCACCAGCAGUCGCAUGCCGAA